AGAGUUUGAUCCUGGCUCAGGAUGGACGCUGGCGGCGUGCUUAACACAUGCAAGUCGAACGAAGCAUAAGAGUUGCUUGCAACACUUAUGACUUAGUGGCGGACGGGUGAGUAACGCGUGGGUAACCUACCCUGUACAGGGGGAUAACAGUUAGAAAUGACUGCUAAUACCGCAUAAGCACACACCGUCACAUGGCAGAGGGUGAAAAGGUUUAUCGGUACAGGAUGGGCCCGCGUCUGAUUAGCUAGUUGGCAAGGUAAAGGCUUACCAAGGCGACGAUCAGUAGCCGACCUGAGAGGGUGACCGGCCACAUUGGGACUGAGACACGGCCCAAACUCCUACGGGAGGCAGCAGUGGGGAAUAUUGCACAAUGGGCGAUAGCCUGAUGCAGCGACGCCGCGUGAGCGAAGAAGUAUUUCGGUAUGUAAAGCUCUAUCAGCAGGGAAGAAAAAUGACGGUACCUGACUAAGAAGCACCGGCUAAAUACGUGCCAGCAGCCGCGGUAAGAGACACUGU
rnacentral:rRNA from 1 species